GGGGUGUUCGUGUUGAUUGAUAAGUUGAGUUCUUUUGGCUAGAUCUUUGUCGUUCUUCUUUGUUGCUUGGAGGUGUUUUGAGUAGGAACUGGAUGAGUAGCCUCUGGACUUCAUGCUGUGUGUUGCUGUUAUUUCUUGGGUUGAGUCCUAGAAGUUCGAGUGCAGGACAUUCUAGAAGGACGUGCUUUAUUGACUCAUCUUCAUCUUCGCAGAACUGGCAGGUGGAGUCUAGCUGGUUGUUGAAUCG